AUUGAACGCUGGCGGCAGGCUUAACACAUGCAAGUCGAGCGGUAACAGAGAGAAGCUUGCUUCUCUGCUGACGAGCGGCGGACGGUUGAGAAAUGCCUAGGAAUCUGCCUAGUAGCGGGGGAUAACUUGCCGAAAGGUAAGCUAAUACCGCAUACGUCCUACGGGAGGAAGGAGGGGACCUUCGGGCCUUUCGCUAUUAGAUGGGCCUAGGUCGGAUUAGUUAGUUGGUGAGGUAAUGGCUCACCAAGACCGCGAUCCGUAACUGGUAUGAGAGGAUGAUCAGUUACACUGGAACUGAGACACGGUCCAGACUCCUACGGGAGGCAGCAGUGGGGAAUAUUGGACAAUGGGGGGAACCCUGAUACAGCCAUGCCGCGUGUGUGAAGAAGGUCUUAGGAUUGUAAAGCACUUUAAGUUGGGAGGAAGAGCAGUUAACUAAUAUUUGACUGUUUUGACGUUACCGACAGAAUAAGCACCGGCUAACUUCGUGCCAGCCGCCGCGGUAA
rnacentral:rRNA from 1 species